AUGGAAGACGGCGGGAGGAGCACGCAGUGGCGCUUCGCGGCCCCGAACCCGACCUUGGCGGCCGCCGGCGAGAGGAGCAUCCAGAAGGCCCUCCUCCAGGUGCACGCCUGCCUGGACGAGCGCGGCCCGCGGCCCGUGAUCGCGCUGAGCCACGGCGACCCCUCCUCCGCACCCUCCUUCCGCACCGCGCCCGAGGCGGAGGAGGCCCUCGUCGCGGCCGUGCGCUCCGGCGAGUACAACGGGUACCCCACCCCCGCCACCGGCCUCCCCGCUCGCAGAGCUGUUGCCGAGUAUCUAUCCCGUGAUCUUCCUUACAUGAUUUCCCAUGAUGAUAUUUUCCUCACUUGUGGAGGUAGCCAAGCAAUCGAGACUGUGAUGUCUGUUUUUGGCCAAGCAGGCGUCAACAUAUUGCUGCCAAUGCCUGGCUACCCAAAACACGAAGCACAUGCAGUGUUUCAUAGGAUGGAAGUACGGCAUUAUGGUCUUCUCCCGGAGAGAGGAUGGGAGGUUGAUUUGGAAGCUGUUGAAGCUCUCGCAGAUGGGAAUACUGUUGCAGUUGUGAUUACCAACCCCAACAACCCAUGUGGUAGUGUGUAUACCUACGAGCAUUUGGCCAAGAUUGCAGAUAUGGCAAGCAAGCUCGGUAUUUUAGUCAUCGCUGAUGAAGUAUAUGGUCACCUUGUCUAUGGCACCACACCUUUUGUGCCAAUGGGUGUUUUUGGAGAGACUGUUCCGGUAAUCACUUUGGGAGCUAUAUCGAAGAGAUGGGCUGUACCUGGCUGGAGGAUUGGUUGGAUAGCAACUUGUGACCCUAAAGGCAUUCUGAGAAAAACUAAGGUUGCUGAUUCACUCAGAAGCUUCAUAAGUAUAAUAUCAGGUCCUGCAACAUUUCUUCAGGGAGCUAUUCCUCAUAUUAUCAAGAACACAAAUGAUGAAUUCUAUAACAACAUUGUCAAGCUGUUGAAGGAGACUGCAGAGAUAUGUUAUGAUGCAAUAGACGAGAUCAAGUGUAUUACCUGUCCCCACAAACCAGAGGGCUCAUUUUUUAUGAUGGUAAAACUGGACGUGUCACAAUUGUCGGACAUUCGUGACGACGUAGACUUCUGCAGCAAGUUGGCGAAGGAGGAGUCGGUUAUACUGUUGCCUGGGAAAUCCUUGGGCAUGGAGAACUGGUUGCGUAUCACCUUUGCUUCGGAGCCACCUACACUGAAGCAAGGGCUCGACAGGGUGAAGUCUUUCUGCAGGAGGCAUCAGUCACAGGCCAAUUAG
rnacentral:rRNA from 1 species